UACGUAGGGUGCGAGCGUUAUCCGGAAUUAUUGGGCGUAAAGCGUUCGUAGGCGGUUUGUCACGUCGGUCGUGAAAACCUGCAGCUUAACUGUGGGCGUGCGGUCGAUACGGGCAUCACUGGAGUUCGGCAGGGGAGACUGGAAUUCCUGGUGUAGCGGUGAAAUGCGCAGAUAUCAGGAGGAACACCGGUGGCGAAGGCGGUUCUCUGGGCAUUACCUGACGCUGAGGAGCGAAAGUGUGGGGAGCGAACAGG
rnacentral:rRNA from 1 species